rnacentral:rRNA from 1 species
GCGAACGCUAGCGGCGGGCCUAACACAUGCAAGUCGAGCGCAUACCUUCGGGUAUGAGCGGCGGACGGGUGAGUAACACGUAGGUAAUCUGCCCUGUGGUGGGGGAUAACCCGGGGAAACCCGGGCUAAUACCGCAUAUGGCCUUCGGUCAAAGCCUUCGGGCGCCAGAGGAUGAGCCUGCGUCGCAUUACCUAGUUGGUGGGGUAAAGGCCUACCAAGGGGACGGAUGCGUAGCUGGUCUGAGAGGAUGAUCAGCCACACUGGGACUGAGACACGGCCCAGACUCCUACGGGAGGCAGCAGUGGGGAAUAUUGCGCAAUGGGCGAAAGCCUGACGCAGCUACGCCGCGUGGGUGAUGAAGGCCUUCGGGUUGUAAAGCCCUGUCGGGAGGGACGGAAGUUCUGACGGUACCUCCCAAGAAAGCACCGGCUAACUCCGUGCCAGCAGCCGCGGUAAUU